rnacentral:rRNA from 1 species
AGUGAACGCUGGCGGUAGGCCUAACACAUGCAAGUCGAACGGCAGCACAGUAAGAGCUUGCUCUUACGGGUGGCGAGUGGCGGACGGGUGAGGAAUACAUCGGAAUCUACUUUUUCGUGGGGGAUAACGUAGGGAAACUUACGCUAAUACCGCAUACGACCUACGGUUGAAAGCAGGGGAUCUUCGGACCUUGCGCGAUUGAAUGAGCCGAUGUCGGAUUAGCUAGUUGGCGGGGUAAAGGCCCACCAAGGCGACGAUCCGUAGCUGGUCUGAGAGGAUGAUCAGCCACACUGGAACUGAGACACGGUCCAGACUCCUACGGGAGGCAGCAGUGGGGAAUAUUGGACAAUGGGCGCAAGCCUGAUCCAGCCAUACCGCGUGGGUGAAGAAGGCCUUCGGGUUGUAAAGCCCUUUUGUUGGGAAAGAAAAGCAGCGGGUUAAUACCCCGCUGUUCUGACGGUACCCAAAGAAUAAGCACCGGCUAACUUCGUG